GGGAUUGCCUUAGUAACGGCGAGUGAAGCGGCAACAGCUCAAAUUUGAAAUCUGGCCUCUUCGGCGCCCGAGUUGUAAUUUGCAGAGGAUGCUUCGGCGUCGGCUCUGGCCCAAGUUCCUUGGAACGGGACGUCGCAGAGGGUGAGAAUCCCGUGUUCGGGCGGAUGCCGUCGCCGUGUGAAGCUCCUUCGACGAGUCGAGUUGUUUGGGAAUGCAGCUCAAAACGGGAGGUAAAUUUCUUCCAAAGCUAAAUACCGGCCGGAGACCGAUAGUGCACAAGUAGAGUGAUCGARAGAUGAAAAGCACUUUGGMAAGAGAGUCVAACAGCGCGYGAAAUUGKUAAAAGGGAAGCGCKUGSGGUCAGAACUUGGCCGCCGUUGCUCGGGGKGKCCUCGCGCCCCCCUCBCUCUUYGKCGGCUGGGCCAGCWUCKGUUCGGGCGGSUSRAAARGRUCGCGGSAACGUGCAUCCCUCCGGGGAGUGUUAUAGCCCUCGCCCCAAUAGGGCCCGCCUGGACCGAGGUCUUCGCAUCUGAUCGGAUGAUGGCGUAAUGGCCCCAAUCGGCCCCUCUUGAAACAACACCCAAGGAGUAUUACAAUCUUUGGGGGGUUGGGGGGUCAACCCCCCCCGGCCAACAAAAAAAAAGGAAGGUGGGGGCCCCCCUCGGGUGCACCAUCGACCGAUCCUGAUGUUUUCGGAUGGAUUUGAGUAAGAGCAUAGAUGUUGGGACCCGAAAGAUGGUGAACUAUGCUUGAAAAGGGUGAAGCCAGAGGAAACUCUGGUGGAGGCUCGCAGCGGUUCUGACGUGCAAAUCGAUCGUCAAAUUGAGCUAUGGGGGCG
rnacentral:rRNA from 1 species